AGUAACACCCGAAGCCGGUGGAGUAACCAUUUGGAGCUAGCCGUCGAAGGUGGGACAAAUGAUUGGGGUGAAGUCGUAACAAGGUAGCCGUAUCGGAAGGUGCGGCUGGAUCACCUCCUUU
rnacentral:rRNA from 1 species